rnacentral:rRNA from 1 species
UACGGGGGGGGUAAGCGUUGUUCGGAAUUACUGGGCGUAAAGGGCUCGUAGGCGGCCAACUAAGUCGGACGUGAAAUCCCUCAGCUUAACUGGGGAACUGCGUCCGAUACUGGAUGGCUUGGAUUUGGGAGAGGGAUGCGGAAUUCCAGGUGUAGCGGUGAAAUGCGUAGAUAUCUGGAGGAACACCGGUGGCGAAGGCGGCUUACUGGUCCGGUUCUGACGCUGAGGCGCGAAAGCGUGGGGAGCAAACAGG